UUCAUCUGAACAAAGCAGGGUAGCAAUAUGCUUCCCAGCAUAUGUUCAAAAGUAAAUUCUAGGAUAUCCCUGGUCUCUGUAAACAAGAGAAUGGAUAAACAACAAAGUCAGCAAUAAGUAGGAAUAAAUUUCUGCUCUCUGCAAUGACACAGUGUGUGGGAAGACAGCUAGGUAAGCAAGGAGAUAGGCUGACUAAUCACUUGGAUGCCAUUGGAAAUGGACAUAAGGAAAUGAGAGGAAACCAGAGAUGCUAAGAAGCCUCCGUAACAAUCCAGGCAAAAGGAGAAGCCAGAUCCCGGUGAACGUAAUUCAUCUCGGACAGAUACUUCAUGCCAGCAGCGAUGCCCCUGAGCAUACCUACCAGCUGGAUCACCGU